AAAACUGUGCAAUGCGCGCAAGCGCGACACGGGGAGCCUGAGUGCCUUGACAAAGUCAAGGCUUUUCUCAAGUCUAAAAAGCUUGAGGAAUAAGAGCUGGGUAAGACGGGUGCCAGCCGCCGCGGUAACACCCGCAGCUCGAGUGGUGGUCACUAUUAUUGAGCCUAAAGCGUUCGUAGCCGGUUUCGUAAAUCUUCAGUUAAAUUCCUCUGCUCAACAGAGGAACUACCGGGGAGACUACGAGACUAGGGACCGGGUGAGGUUGGAGGUACUUCCGGGGUAGGGGUAAAAUCCUGUAAUCUUGGAAGGACGACCGGUGGCGAAGGCGUCCAACUAGAACGGAUCCGACGGUGAGGAACGAGGGCUAGGGGAGCAA
rnacentral:rRNA from 1 species